rnacentral:rRNA from 1 species
UAAGGGGAAAGCAGCAAUGCGCUGGAAGAGGAGUCCGCGGCUGAUAGCUAGUUGGUGAGGUAAUGGCCCACCAAGGCGAAGAUCGGUAGCCGGCCUGAGAGGGCACACGGCCACACUGGCACUGAAACACGGGCCAGACUCCUACGGGAGGCAGCAGUGGGGAAUCUUGCACAAUGGAGGAAACUCUGAUGCAGCGACGCCGCGUGAGCGAUGAAGCCCUUCGGGGUGUAAAGCUCUUUCGACGGGAACGAUAAUGACGGUACCCGGAGAAGAAGCUGCGGCUAACUACGUGCCAGCAGCCGCGGUAAUACGUAGGCAGCGAGCGUUGUUCGGAAUUACUGGGCGUAAAGGGUGUGUAGGCGGUGCUCUAAGUCUGGUGUGAAAUCUCCCGGCUCAACUGGGAGGGUGCGCCGGAAACUGGAGUGCUAGAGGGUGGGAGAGGAAAGCGGAAUUCCUGGUGUAGCGGUGAAAUGCGUAGAUAUCAGGAGGAACACCUGUGGUGUAGACAGCUUUCUGGACCACUUCUGACGCUGAGACACGAAAGCGUGGGUAGCAAACAGGAUUAGAUACCCUGGUAGUCC